UAAUCAGCCACCUAGGGAAUGACUAGGCUCUGGUAGCGAAGAAGGCCGUGGCAAGCUGCGAUAAGCUCAGGGUAGGCGCAAGUCAGCCUUUGAACCUGAGAUAGCCGAAUCGUGCACCAUGAAUAGUGGUGCAUGCGCACGCGGGGAACUGAAGCAUCUUAGUACCCGCAGGAAAAGAAAUCGAAAGAGAUGUCGUGAGUAACGGCGAGUAAAAGCGACGAAGGGCAAGCUGAAUCCCAUUGCGCAAGUGAUGGGAGAUGUGGUGCAGACGCCUGGCGGACAUGCGAGUCGAACGCUCUGGAAAGAGCGGCCAUAGAGAGUGACAGCCUCGUAGACGAAGCAUGUUCGGCAUUGUCUGUAAGAGAGUAGCACAGCCUGAGUACGUUGUGCGAAUAUGGGGGCAUUAGACUCCAACCCUAAACAUUGACCAGAGACCGAUAGCGAAUAAGUAGCGCGAGCGAACGUUGAAAAGAACCCACACGCGUGGGUGUGAAAUAGAUCUGAAACUAGGUGGUUACAAGAAGAUAUGGCAUGAGCGUUAUUGUGCACGAAGUGAAAACGCGAAAGCGUCGAACGAAAUGCACUAGCAGUGUUGUAUCCUUCUUCUUGAAGCAAGAGCCAGGGAGUGUAUUGUAGUGGCAAGCGAUAAGCGCAGCGAAAGCGAGUGUGCUUAUGCACAGGGUGCGAAAGCGCCUAAGUCACUAUUUUACGACCCGAAGCCAUUGUGAACUACUCGUGGGCAGGGUGAAGUUGAGCUUACGCUCGAUGGAGGCCCGCAACCUGUCAUGGUGUAUCCUGUUGGGUGACCUACGAGUAGGGGCGAUAGACCAUUCGAACAUGGCAAUAACGGGUCCCCUUCGAAGUAUCUUUAGGAUAGCCCGGAGCCAGCUCGCAUACAAGGUAGAGCGACCGAUUCUCUGGUUGGAGUCGAAAGACUUCGCCUCAGAGUCAAACUCCGAAUUUGUAUGCUGCGUAUCUCCGGAGUCGGCGUGUAUUGGGUAAGCUAGUACCGCGAGACUUAAACGAAAGUGACUGAGUUUAAGGUCCCUAAAUCCUAGUUAAGUGUGUUGAAAGAGGGUUCUGUCUUAGACAGUCGGGAGGUAGGCUUAGAAGCAGCCACCCUUUAAAAAACGCGUAACAGCGUACCGAUUGAGAUAGGAUUCUCUGAAGAUGGACGGGGCUAAACUAGGUACCGAGACCCCAGCGUGCGAAAGCAUGGGUAGAAGGGCGUGCUGUGCGGCUAGAAGUACGGUCUUGAGGCCGUAUGGACUGCACAGCAGUGAAGAUCCUGGUGUAAGUAAUAGCAAAUACUGGUUAAAAUCCAGUACGCCGGAAGCACACGGUUUUCCCCGAAAUGAUUGUCAGCGGGGAGUUAGCCGAUCCUAAGAGGGGAGCUAAUCACUACCCCUCAAAAGGGAAGCAUGUUAAAAUUCAUGCGCCUAAUGCGUAGGUGUGGCGACACAAGGUGUAUUUCUGAAAGUUGGGGAUAGGUCAUUUAUAACGUGCAAACGGCUGUGGAGUCUCAUUAUGAGGAGAAGCAGCUAAAUGAACUUUGGCCAAAUUCCUGAUUCCGUGAAAAGGGAAUACGCAACGAUCGCGUUAGUUCGUACCUAGAUCCAGUACAGGUGCUGCUGGUUGAAUAGACCAAGGCGUGUUAAGGUUAAAUCAGGUUAGGGAAAUCGGCAAGUUAGUAGCGUAAGUUUUCGACAAGCUAUGUCUGUGCUUAGUAAGCGCAGAUUGCAAUAACUAGGGGAGAGCGACUGUUUCUUUAAAACACAACUCACCGCAAAGCCGUAAGGCUUAGUACAGUGGGUGACGCCUGCUCACCGCUAGUACGCGAAACCCCGUUUCAACGGGACUAAGCGCUAGCAAAGAGCGGGGGUAACUCUGACCCUCUUUAGGUAGCGUAAUACCUCGUCACUUAAUAGGUGACUUGCAUGAAGGGCGUAACGACUCUCCCACUGUCCCAACCUGGUGCUUAGUGAACUCACUACGCGGUGAACAUGCCGCGUUCUCUCAGUGGGAAAUGAAGUCUCUAUGAAGCUUGACUAUAACCUGUUGUUGUUGUGUGGCGAGUACUGCAGAGCGUAAGUGGGAGCAUCGAAGCGGGGGUUUCGGCCUCCGUGGAGCGACAAUGUAACACCACUCUUUGCUCGCUACGCGACUCACUAAUCUUAGGACAGCGGCAGGCGGAUAGUUAGACUGGGCGGUUGCUUUCGAUAAGGAAACGAAAGUGACCAAUGCUCUACUUAAGUGAGUUGGAAACUCACUGUUAAGCUAAAAGGCAAAUGUAGGGCUGACUGUGUAUCGAAAAGCGGGAUACGCAGACUGGAAACAGGGGCUUACCGAGCGUUGGAAGCUCUUUUAGUGGGGCUCCAACCUGUCAGAAAAGUUACUCUAGAGGUAACCGGUUCGUGGCUGGUGAGAGUUCACAUCGACCCAGCCGUUUGAUACACCGAUAUGGGCUUUUGUCAUCCUGGUGGUGCAGAAGCCACCAAGGGCCGGGCUGCUCGCCCGUUAAAGACAAACACGAGCUGAGUUAAGUCCGCCGCGAGGCAGGACGGUAAUAUCUACUGGGAGUGUUAAUGUCAGAGGAUAAGCUGCCUCUAGUACGAGAGGAAUGCGGCAGCGGCGCCACUAGUUUACCGGUUGUGAAUAGCAUGGCCGGGUAGCCACGCGCUAAGGGAUAAGUCCUGAAAGCAUCUAAGGACGAAGCCCAAUCCGAAACGAGACAUUAUGGCGGUCGUAUUACACGACUUCGAUAGGGUGGACGUGUAAGCAGAAAGCGCAAGCGAUCUGUGAGCGUACCACUACUAAAG
rnacentral:rRNA from 1 species